rnacentral:rRNA from 1 species
AUUGAACGCUGGCGGCAUGCCUUACACAUGCAAGUCGAACGGUAACAGGUCUUCGGAUGCUGACGAGUGGCGAACGGGUGAGUAAUACGUCGGAACGUGCCCGAGAGUGGGGGAUAACGAAGCGAAAGCUUUGCUAAUACCGCAUACGAUCUCAGGAUGAAAGCAGGGGACCGCAAGGCCUUGCGCUCACGGAGCGGCCGAUGGCAGAUUAGGUAGUUGGUGGGAUAAAAGCUACCAAGCCGACGAUCUGUAGCUGGUCUGAGAGGACGACCAGCCACAUUGGGACUGAGACCCGGCCCAGACUCCUACGGGAGGCAGCAGUGGGGAAUUUUGGACAAUGGGCGCAAGCCUGAUCCAGCCAUGCCGCGUGCAGGAUGAAGGCCUUCGGGUUGUAAACUGCUUUUGUACGGAACGAAAAGACUCCUUCUAAUAAAGGGGGUCCAUGACGGUACCGUAAGAAUAAGCACCGGCUAACUACGUGCCAGCAGCCGCCGCCGUAA